CCGAGUGAGGGCCCUCUGGGUCCAACCUCCCACCCGUGUUUAUUUACCUUGUUGCUUCGGCGAGCCUGCCUUUUGGCUGCCGGGGGACGUCAGUCCCCGGGUCCGUGCUCGCCGGAGACACCUUAGAACUCUGUCUGAAGAUUGUAGUCUGAGAUUAAAUAUAAAUUAUUUAAAACUUUCAACAACGGAUCUCUUGGUUCCGGCAUCGAUGAAGAACGCAGCGAAAUGCGAUACGUAAUGUGAAUUGCAGAAUUCAGUGAAUCAUCGAGUCUUUGAACGCACAUUGCGCCCUCUGGUAUUCCGGAGGGCAUGCCUGUCCGAGCGUCAUUGCUGCCCUCAAGCACGGCUUGUGUGUUGGGCCCCGUCCUCCUUCCGGGGGACGGGUCCGAAAGGCAGCGGCGGCACCGCGUCCGGUCCUCAAGCGUAUGGGGCUUUGUCACUCGCUUUGUAGGCCUGGCCGGCGCUUGCCGAUCAACCAAACUUUUUAUCAGG
rnacentral:misc_RNA from 1 species